CAGUGGGGAAUAUUGCACAAUGGGCGCAAGCCUGAUGCAGCCAUGCCGCGUGUAUGAAGAAGGCCUUCGGGUUGUAAAGUACUUUCAGCGGGGAGGAAGGUGUUGUGGUUAAUAACCGCAGCAAUUGACGUUACCCGCAGAAGAAGCACCGGCUAACUCCGUGCCAGCAGCCGCGGUAAUACGGAGGGUGCAAGCGUUAAUCGGAAUUACUGGGCGUAAAGCGCACGCAGGCGGUCUGUCAAGUCGGAUGUGAAAUCCCCGGGCUCAACCUGGGAACUGCAUUCGAAACUGGCAGGCUUGAGUCUUGUAGAGGGGGGUAGAAUUCCAGGUGUAGCGGUGAAAUGCGUAGAGAUCUGGAGGAA
rnacentral:rRNA from 1 species